ACAGAUUAGUACUCAUUACAGGCAGGCAGGCAAGGUAUUUUACUUUUUUAUUUAUCUAAUUUUAACGAUUGCUUUUAUAGACAUACGACAUACAACUUGCGCAGAGAAUUACUCGACGAAAUCCUAAAUUUUAACAAUUGACCUUAUAAUUGUUAUCGUUUAUUCCAAGAUGAAAUAGGGUAAUGAAACCAUUACUGCUGGUUAUAAACCUCACAGACACUAUUUGUAUUUGUGUUCAUUUUAAAAGGAACGAACAUGCAGUUAAAAUUAGCAAAGCGUAAACAUCCUAGCGUGGAUUAAUGUUGAGUUUCCUCAUUAAAUCACGGAUAAGAAGUAACUUUAUUCAUAUACAAUUAUGGUUUUGGUAUAGAUUCACAUGGAAAAGUGACAAAACGAUUGAUUCCGACGAUAUUUUGUUGUUUGCUUAGUUUGCAGGGCAUUUAAUUUCGUUACAGUCAGGUUAAUUUACUAUGGGGACCGGUUUCAACGAUAACAGUUUUAGUAUUUCAAAUUAAAAGACUCACAAGCAUGUAUGUUCAUGAUUUUUAUUUAAAUUCUUCAGCGGUUUAUGUUUAUCAUAUUUUUCCUUGUUAAAGUUCAUUUGAAUCAAUUUUCGUUUUAUUUCUGAUACAGUAAUUUUAGCGACUACGAUUCAUUGUUUUUACGGCUGGGACAAUGUCAUGUAUGGUAUUAAAUCGAAUUGCCGGGGGAUAAAAAUCUAUACAAGAUAAACAUGUAUACAUAGUCGUUGAUGAUGAAAACAAAUAUGUAAAAAAUUGUCACUUAAUAAAAAGCGUUCAAGACAGUUACUUCGAUUGCAACACCGAUUAGCAAAUAAAUGGGUAUUUAUUUUCUACAACUUGCGCAAAGCUUCGCAACAUAGAAUCAGACAAAACAUUAUGAAACUAAACUCGUUUUACCGUCUCAUAUAUUUGUUUUAGGUAUAAUGUUUGAUACCACUUUUGAUAAUAUUAUCUGGGCAAUGCUAUACGUUUAGAUUAUACAAGAUAUUAAGUAAUUCAAUGACACACAAUGUUAAUAUAUAGCUUUUUUCAGAUGUUUCCCACUUUAACAGCUAUAUUGUUCUUUGUCCUAAUAAGCGGCACCACGACAAGCGGUUGCAAGCAAUGUACAGCCAACGGGCAGCAAUAAAGGGGAAAUUCCCGAUUUCAGAUUAAAGACGGCUGUUUGCGUUAUAAUUGCAUGUGUAACUGUGAUGGUAGUUGGAACUGCCUUACUCGGGAUACAACAAACGCCUGUUUUGGAUCAAACAAUGGUGGGUCUCAUUCGAAUUGCAGACAAUGUCAACUCAGUGAACAAACAUACGCUGGAAAUAGUCGUUUUCAAUAUACCGAUGGCUGUUACCGGUUUAACUGUGACUGCCACUGUGACGGAAGUUGGACUUGCCCUGGAAGCAGAACACAAAACCUUUGCUGAAAAAUGUAUUAUGUGUCAUUGAACUGCAUUUGAUUAAAGAUUAAUCUUGAAUAUUUUUUUCGUUAUGGAACUUAUUUCAAAAUGAUCAACACAUGUACAAAGUUAUCAAAAUGUCGCUAGAAGUAGACAAUCAGUCUUCGAGAGUAUUAUCGGAACAGCACUUCAGUAAUGACAAGAUUUAUACCUAGCCAUUCUAUA
rnacentral:lncRNA from 1 species